GCCACUUCCUCUACGAGCCAUCUUUGCGACAGCCCAGCAGUUCUUGUUCAGUCAGAAUGGAUGUGUCAGUUUAUCACCAGCUCGUUUAGUUAGAGAAAAUGUUAAUAUAAUGCAUGUAGAAAGCUGGACCAGAUAUUUACCAGCCUUAAACAAGCCAAAGUAUCUGUCCCAUACCACGGUGAGGGACGAAGUAGUUAAGGUAACAGUGGGGGCUCAUGGCUGUGGAAGACGAAGUUAGUUUGAUUACUGGAGGAUACAUUUACAUUUUAAGGACAUGAUACGAAACGUAAGGGAAACAGCUGUCCUUAUUUACAGAGUUCAUAUGCAUAUAUUGUGUAUUGACAUUUUUCUAUAGGCAUAAGACUGAAUUGUGUGGCACUUUAUGGACAUUGCCCGUGUAUUUUGAUGUCUCCUGCUAUGAUGUGACCUAUCAGGGAUCUGUGAGGUGAAUGUGCUAAAAUGAGGGGUGUUUUCCUGGGUUUCUUUAUCGGUGUGUCUUGUGCUGGAGUGAUAUUAAGGGUUUAAUUAUCAUCCAGCGUGGGGGUUGUGUUACCGGCAUGAGCAGUUGCCGCUUCUCCCAUCCACUGGGCGGCAGUGUUGCUCCCUGUAAUAUGAUAAAUAUUUCAUAGUAUAGCAUGAUAAAAAUGUCAAGGUCUAGUAUGUUUUAAAAAUAUUUUAGUAGAGUAUAAUGAAAAUGUCAUUGUAAACUAUGUUAUAAAAUGUCAUAGUAUAGUAUGAAAAAAUAUAGUAUAGUAUGAUAAAAAUGUCAUAGUAUUGUAUGUAAAAAAUUCAAAUUCAAGUGUGUGAAAAAAAUUUUUUCAGGUUUUUGUAUGAAAAAAAAUAUUAUAGUAUACUAUGAUCAAAAUGUCAUAUUAUAGUAUGAUUAAAAUUUGAAAAAAAUGUCAUAUUUUAGUAUUUAAAAAAUACCAUAGUAUAGUAUGUUAAAAAUGUCAUAUUUUAGUGUGGAUUUUUUUUUUCCUAUUUUAGUAAAUAAACAAUACAUAGUAUAGUAUGAUAAAAAUGUCAUUCUCAGUAUGGAAAAAAGUCAUACUUUAGUAUGAUGAAUGUCAUAGUAUAGUAUGAUACAAAUUUCAUAUUUCAGUAUGAAAAAAUUCAUAGUUUACUAUACUAUACUAUUUCAUGAUAAAAAUGAAAUGUUGAAAAAUGUCAUACUAUAGUAUGAUAAAAAUGUAAAAGAAUAAUAUGAUGAAUUUUUUAAGGUAGUGCAUGAUCAAAAAUGUCAAGGUAUAGUAUGUUAAAAAAUGUCAUAGUAUAGUAUGAUAAAAAUGUCAGUAAAGUAUGUUAUAAAAUGUCAUGGUAUAGUAUGAUAAAAAUAUCAUACUUUAGUUUAAUAAAAAAAGUCACAAACUAGUCUGUUAUAAAAUGUCAAUGCAUAGUAUGUUAAAAAAAUGAAUAGUAAUAAAAAUAUGUUAUUAUAUAGUGUGAUUAAAAAUGUCAUAGUAUAAUAUGAAAAAAUGUCUAGUAUAGUAUGUAAAAAAAUUCAAAUUCAAGUGUGAAAAUUUAUUUUCAUGUUUUUGUAUGAAAAAAUAUCAUUGUAUACUAUGAUCAAAAUGUCAUAUUAUAGCAUAAUUAAAAUUUCAUUUUUUAGCAUUAAAAAAUGUCAAAGUACCCUAAAAAAAAUUUCAAAGCAAAGUAUCAUAAAAAUGUCAUAGUAUAGUAUGUAAAAACAUUCAAAUUAUUGUGUGAAAAAAAUAUCAUAUUUAAGUAUUUAAAAAGAUACCAUAGUAUAGUAUGAUAAAAAUGUCAAUGUUAAGUAUGUUAUAAAAUGUCAUGGUAAAGUAUGAUAAAAAUAUCAUCAAUAUCAAGUUUGAUAAAAAAAAAACCUCACAAAAUAGUAUGUUAAAAAACGUCAAUGCAGAGUAUGUUUAAAAAAUUUUAGUUAUAAAAAUAUGUUAUUCGAUAGUAUGAUUUAAAAUGCCAUAGUACUGUAUGAAAAAAUAUCAUAGUAUAGUAUGAUAAAACUGUCACAGUAUAGUAUGUAAAAAAUUCAAAUUCAAGGGUGAAAUUUAAUUUUCAUGUUUUUGUAUGAAAAAAUAGCAUAGUAUACUAUGAUCAAAACGACAUAUUAUAGUAUGAUUUUAGUUUCAUUUUUAGCAUUGAAAAAAUAUCAUAGUAUCUAAAAGUAUCUAAAAAAAUGUCAAAGUAUAGUAUCAUAAAAAUGUCAUAGUAUAGUAUGUGAAAACAUUUAAAUUAUACUAUGAAAAAUAUUAUAUUUUAGUUUUUAAUAAAAUACCAUAAUUUAGAAUGAUAAAUAUUUCAUAGAAUAGUAUGUUAAAAAUGUCAUAGUAUAGUAUGAUAAAAAUGUCAUAAUGUCAAGUUUGAUAAAAAAAAACCUCACAAAAUAGUAUGUUAAAAAACGUCAAUGCAGAGUAUGUUUAAAAAUUUUAGUUAUAAAAAUAUGUUAUUCGAUAGUAUGAUUUAAAAUGCCAUAGUACUGUAUGAAAAAAUAGCAUAGUAUAGUAUGAUCAAAACGACAUAUUAUAGUAUGAUUUUAGUUUCAUUUUUAGCAUUGAAAAAAUAUCAUAGUAUCUAAAAGUAUCUAAAAAAAUGAUAAAGUAUAGUAUCAUAAAAAUGUCAUAGUAUAGUAUGUGAAAAAUUUAAAUUAUACUAUGAAAAAUAUUAUAUUUUAGUUUUUAAUAAAAUACCAUAAUUUAGAAUGAUAAAUAUUUCAUAGAAUAGUAUGUUAAAAAUGUCAUAGUAUAGUAUGAUAAAAAUGUCAUAGUUUAGUGUGAUAAAAAAAUGUCAUAGUAUAGUUUGUUAAAAAAAAUGUCAUAGUAUAAUAUAUUUUUUAAAUGUCAUAGUUAAGUAUUAUAAAAAUAUCAUAGUAUAGUAGCAUAAAAACUGUCACAGUAUGGCAUUUUAAUAAUUGUUUAGUAUGAUAAAAAUGUCAUGGUUAAGCAUGUUAACAAAAAUGCCAUAGUAUAGCAAGUUAAAAAAAAUUCAUAGUAUUGUGACAACCCUCAUGCCUAGCCAGGACUUACUGUUUGUUCCUUUUUCAGGUUUUUCUUGUUUCUUUUGCAGGUUGCUGGUAGGCGGGGUUCAACCGCACCUGCUUGUUCCUGGCCAGUCUCCCAGGGUAUAAAAGACUUGACUGCCGACCCUCUCCUUCUCUCUCAUCCUUACCUGAUGCUCCAUGUUGCCAAAGGGUUUUGUUCAGUUGGCUCCAGCUUUCUUUGGACUUUGGUUUUACACCUAACAACAUUUCUGCACAUAUACAUUUUUCACUCAUCCAACAUCAGACACACUGAAUAACUGACGCACACACUUCAUCCAUUUUGUUGCAAAAACUUUUAUUUUGAAAUAAAUCAUUUUAUUUGAAGUUGA
rnacentral:lncRNA from 1 species